rnacentral:tRNA from 1 species
AAGGUUUUAAGUUAAAAAAACUAAUAGCCUUCAAAGCUGUAAAUAGAAAAAUAUAUCUAAACCUUA